rnacentral:rRNA from 1 species
CCUACGGGCGGCUGCAGUGGGGAAUAUUGCACAAUGGGCGCAAGCCUGAUGCAGCCAUGCCGCGUGUGUGAAGAAGGCCUUCGGGUUGUAAAGCACGUUCAGCGGGGAGGAAGGCGGUGAGGUUAAUAACCUCAUCGAUUGACGUUACCCGCAGAAGAAGCACCGGCUAACUCCGUGCCAGCAGCCGCGGUAAUACGGAGGGUGCAAGCGUUAAUCGGAAUUACUGGGCGUAAAGCGCACGCAGGCGGUCUGUCAAGUCGGAUGUGAAAUCCCCGGGCUCAACCUGGGAACUGCAUUCGAAACUGGCAGGCUAGAGUCUUGUAGAGGGGGGUAGAAUUCCAGGUGUAGCGGUGAAAUGCGUAGAGAUCUGGAGGAAUACCGGUGGCGAAGGCGGCCCCCUGGACAAAGACUGACGCUCAGGUGCGAAAGCGUGGGGAGCAAACAGGAUUAGAUACCCUAGUAGUC